rnacentral:rRNA from 1 species
CCCUUAGAUGUUCUGGGCCGCACGCGUGCUACACUGAGUAAUUCAAUGGGUAAGGGAACGCUAGAGCAUUACCUAAUCUUGAAAUUUGCUCGUGAUGGGGAUCGACGGUUGCAAUUUUCCGUCGUGAACGAGGAAUACCUUGUAGGCGCAUGACAUCAUCAUGCGCCGAAUACGUCCCUGCCCUUUGUACACACCGCCCGUCGCUCCUACCGAUUGAGUGAUCCGGUGAGGCUCUGGGACCUGGACGGAAAGAGCGUUUCGCUUGUUCUGUUUGGGAAACUUGGUCGAACCUUAUCAUUUAGAGGAAGGAGAAGUCGUAACA